rnacentral:rRNA from 1 species
GAGGAAAAGAAACCAACAGGGAUUUGCCUCCAGUUAACCGGCGAGUGAAGCGGCAAAAGCUCAGAUUUGAAAUCGUGUUUCGGCACGAGUUGUAGAUUGCAGGUUGGAGUCUUUGUGGAAGCGUGUGUCUAAGUCCCUUGGAACAGGGUGCCAUUGAGGGUGAGAGCCCCGUGAGACGCGUGCGGAAGCUGUAAGGCCCUUCUGACGAGUCGAGUUGUUUGGGAAUGCAGCUCUAAGUGGGUGGUAAAUUCCAUCUAAGGCUAAAUAUUGGCGAGAGACCGAUAGCGAACAAGUACUGUGAAGGAAAGAUGAAAAGCACUUUGAAAAGAGAGUGAAACAGCACGUGAAAUUGUUGAAAGGGAAGGGUAUUGGGCUCGACAUGGGAUUUGCGCACCGCUGCUCCUUGUGGGCGGCGCUCUGUGCUUUUCCUGGGCCAGCAUCGGUUUUUGCCGCAGGAGAAGGCGUGCUGGAAUGUGGCUCUUCGGAGUGUUAUAGCCAGUGU